GACAGAGGGUGCAAACGUUGUUCGGAAUUACUGGGCGUAAAGCGAGUGUAGGCGGUCCGAUAAGUCGGGUGUGAAAGCCCUGGGCUCAACCCAGGAAGUGCACUCGAAACUGCCGGGCUAGAGUAUCGGAGAGGUUGGUGGAAUUCUCGGUGUAGAGGUGAAAUUCGUAGAUAUCGAGAGGAACACCGGUGGCGAAGGCGGCCAACUGGACGAAUACUGACGCUGAGACUCGAAAGCCAGGGGAGCAAACGGG
rnacentral:rRNA from 1 species